UACGGGGGGGGCAAGCGUUGUUCGGAAUUACUGGGCGUAAAGGGCUCGUAGGCGGCCAACUAAGUCAGACGUGAAAUCCCUCGGCUUAACCGGGGAACUGCAUCUGAUACUGGAUGGCUUGAGAUUGGGAGAGGGAUGCGGAAUUCCAGGUGUAGCGGUGAAAUGCGUAGAUAUCGGGAGGAACACCGGUGGCGAAGGCGGCCUUCUGGACGGAUACUGACGCUGAGACGCGAAAGCGUGGGGAGCAAACAGG
rnacentral:rRNA from 1 species